rnacentral:rRNA from 1 species
AUUUUGGACAAUGGGCGCAAGCCUGAUCCAGCGAUGCCGCGUGAGUGAAGAAGGCCUUCGGGUUGUAAAGCUCUUUUGUCAGGGAAGAAACGGGGGAGGUUAAUACCUUCCACUAAUGACGGUACCUGAAGAAUAAGCACCGGCUAACUACGUGCCACAAGCCGCGGUAAUACGUAGGGUGCAAGCGUUAAUCGGAAUUACUGGGCGUAAAGCGUGCGCAGGCGGUUUUGUAAGUCUGUCGUGAAAGCCCCGGGCUCAACCUGGGAAUUGCGAUGGAGACUGCAAGGCUUGAAUCUGGCAGAGGGGGGUAGAACUCCACGUGUAGCAGUGAAAUGCGUAGAGAUGUGGAGGAACACCGAUGGCGAAGGCAGCCCCCUGGGUCAAGAUUGACGCUCAUGCACGAAAGCGUGGGGAGCAAAC